rnacentral:rRNA from 1 species
UACGGAGGGUGCAAGCGUUAUCCGGAUUCACUGGGCUUAAAGCGCGUGUAGGCGGAUGGGAACGUCGGCUUCUGAAAGCCCCCGGCUCAACCGGGGAAGUGGGGCCGAAACGACCCGUCUCGAGGGACGUAGGGGGAUCUGGAACUUCCGGUGGAGCGGUGAAAUGCGUUGAGAUCGGAAGGAACGCCCGUGGCGAAAGCGAGAUCCUGGACGUUUUCUGACGCUGAGACGCGAAAGCUAGGGGAGCAAACGGG